rnacentral:rRNA from 1 species
GACGAACGCUGGCGGCGUGCUUAACACAUGCAAGUCGAACGGAAAGGCCCUGCUUUUGUGGGGUGCUCGAGUGGCGAACGGGUGAGUAACACGUGAGUAACCUGCCCUUGACUUUGGGAUAACUUCAGGAAACUGGGGCUAAUACCGGAUAGGAGCUCCUGCUGCAUGGUGGGGGUUGGAAAGUUUCGGCGGUUGGGGCUGGACUCGCGGCUUAUCAGCUUGUUGGUGGAGUAGUGGCUUACCAAGGUUUUGACGGGUAGCCGGCCUGAGAGGGUGGCCGGCCACAAUGCGACUGAGGUACGGCGCAGACUGCUACGGGAGGCAGCAGGGGGGAGUAUGACACAAUGGGCGGACGCGUGAUGCAGCAGCGCCGCGUGCGGAAUGCCGGCUUUCGGGUUGUAAACCGCUUUCGACUGUGACGAAGCGUGAGUGACGGUAAUGGGUAAAGAAGCACCGGCUAACUACGUG